rnacentral:rRNA from 1 species
UCUCUAGGGGGAAAUCUCUGAGCAAGCAAAACCAAGGAGACAACUCCCAAACCCCCGGGAACAUACCAAUUGUUGCCUCGGCGGAUCAACUACUCCGCUCCCGGUAACACGGGACGGCCCGCCAGAGGACCCCUAAACUCUGUUUCUAUAUGUAACUUCUGAGUAAAACCAUAAAUAAAUCAAAACUUUCAACAACGGAUCUCUUGGUUCUGGCAUCGAUGAAGAACGCAGCAAAAUGCGAUAAGUAAUGUGAAUUGCAGAAUUCAGUGAAUCAUCGAAUCUUUGAACGCACAUUGCGCCCGCCAGUAUUCUGGCGGGCAUGCCUGUUCGAGCGUCAUUUCAACCCUCAAGCCCUCGGGUUUGGUGUUGGGGAUCGGCGAGCCCUAUGCGGCAAGCCGGCCCCGAAAUCUAGUGGCGGUCUCGCUGCAGCUUCCAUUGCGUAGUAGUAAAACCCUCGCAACUGGUACGCGGCGCGGCCAAACCCGUAAACCCCCAACUUCUGAAUGUUGACCUCGGAUCAGGUAGGAAUACCCGCGAAACUUAAGCAUAUCAUUAAGCCGGAGAGA